UGAGGCCUCACCAUGUUGCCUAGGCUGGUACUGAACUCCAGAGCUCAAGCAAUCUUCCUGCCUUGGCAUGCUAAAGUGUUGGGAUUGUAGGCGUGAGCCACCACACCUGGCCCCAAUGUCCUUUGUUUAAAGAUGGAGAGGGGGCAAAUGGGUAAUACUGACUCUGUGAAGAGAAUGAGUCAUUUCCAGUUAUCACCAUGAUUACCUUUUAAUUUAUCUUUAAUGUUUUCUGAUAAAUGUUUUGUAAGCUGAGGCAUUUCUUCUGGAGAAUAUUCAGCAUUUGCCAGUUCCUCCUUGAGCACAGCAUGGAUACAGUCUUUAACCACAGAGGGCCUGAACCUGAAUGGAACAAUUUGUGAACAUCCAGUCGGUGACUCCACAACCCCAGCUUACCUUCAUACCGCAACUUCUCCCAUCUUUUUGUCAUUAGUACCACUUAAUCCUUCUUUUUCAUAUUUUUUAUUAUAAAAUAUAAACAAAUUAAGACAAAUCAUAGGCCACAUGUGUAUCUUCAACCUGGACCUGCACUGAACUUCAACACAUUCCAACUCAUGCUCCAUAUGAAUGUUUAUUAGGCAACUCAAUACAUCCAAUAAUGAGCUUCUCAUACUCCCCUCUCCCCCAAAACAAAAUAUAUACUUGUUGUUAAUUUUGUUCUGCACGCUUUCACAAAAUAAAAUAAAAUAAAAUAAAAUAAAAAAAUACGGCUGAAUGGCAUUCUGGGCAUUCAGAACCUUUUACCAAGAUAACUGAGGGUAUCUUUCUCUGUGUUCAUUCUACCCAAGGGAAAAAUCCUGUAUGAAAUUUGUAUCACUUUUUCUGUGAGUUACCAAGAGAAUAAAAAUAAACAAAGAAAUUUGUAUCACAUUAUAAUCAAAAUUCCUGUUUUCCAUAUUUGCCAAGCAAAUAUGGGGUGUGUGUGUGUGUGUAAAGUUAGUGAUCUUACAAACCUAGCUGAGUACCCUCUGCUCUGGCCCGUGAGCCUGACAUUUUUUUCAGUGUGUGUGUGUGUGUGUUGUGUGGUGUGUGUGUGUGUUGUGUGGUGUGUGUGUGUGUGUGUAAAGUUAGUGAUCUCACAAACCUAGCUGAGUACCCUCUGCUCUGGCCCGUGAGCCUGACAUUUUUUUCAGUGUGUGUGUGUGUGUGUGUGUGUUGUGUGGUGUGUGUGUGGUGUGUGUGUGUGUGUGUGUGUGUGUAAAGUUAGUGAUCUUACAAACCUGAGUACCCUCUGCUCUGGCCCGUGAGCCUGACAUUUUUUUUCAGUGUGUGUGUGUGUGUGUGUGUGUGUGUUGUGUGUGUGUGUGUAAAGUUAGUGAUCUUACAAACCUAGCUGAGUACCCUCUGCUCUGGCCCGUGAGCCUGACAUUUUUUUUCAGUGUGUGUGUGUGUUGUGUGUGUGUGUGUGUGUAAAGUUAGUGAUCUUACAAACCUAGCUGAGUACCCUCUGCUCUGGCCCGUGAGCCUGAUAUUUUUUUCAGUGUGUGUGUGUGUGUGUGUGUGUGUGUGUGUAAAGUUAGUGAUCUCACAAACCUAGCUGAGUACCCUCUGCUCUGGCCCGUGAGCCUGAUAUUUUUUUCAGUGUGUGUGUGUGUGUGUGUGUGUGUGUGUAAAGUUAGUGAUCUCACAAACCUAGCUGAGUACCCUCUGCUCUGGCCCGUGAGCCUUAAUCCUAGCGAGGGCUCGCUGCGGUGGUCUAAGGGCCUCCAGAUCCCACCCGGGUAGGACUUCGCACAGAUGCAGCUCCCGCGCCGGGAGUGAGCCCAUCCUGGCACCCGUGUGCACAGUCACCCUCGAAUCACGGCUGAACGGCAUCCGACGCGAGUGGCUUCCUGCCUCUAUUCUACCCAUCUCCUUACUCAGGACGCCAUCGCGGGUUUCCCAGGGCCAACCAUUCCCGCCGCGCCACCCUAAGACGCGCCCGGCGCCCAAACACUGAGGAAGCGGGUGGGGUCCCCUGCGGCCCCUGCAGCGGGAGGGGCGCCCGGACGUCACAGCAGGGCCGCCCGCCCGCCUCGCGGCCUCCCGCCUCCCGCCCCGCGGACCCCGCGCGUCCCCCGCGCUCCUUCCGUGGCCCAGGUCCCAGGCGAGCUCCGCCCCUCAGACCAGCGCGCUCGAGGUCGCCCCGCCACAGCCCGUCCUCUACCCGCCUCUGCUGGAAAACAGGCCGCAGAAUAUAGGUGUUCUCGGGCUCCCCUGCGUUCUUCUCAGCCUCAGGCACCCCCUCGCGAUGAAGGCCUAGCGGGUUGCGGUCGCGGCCGGCAGCAGGGAAAGCGUCUCCAGGGCAACAGGGCCGCCCUCCCGCCUCGCUGAAGCCCGCGAGCGCCCCGCACAGCCGCCCUCCCUGCCCGCGCCUGCGCACCGGCUGCUGGGCGGGAACUGGUCGCGUCCGGACGCGCGACAGCUUCCACCCGCCUCAGGCAGUAUCAGCCGCGCCGCAGUCGGAGGAAAUAGACGCGGGGCCUGAGGCUCCUGGACUUGAGAGGCUGCAGAAAAGGCCCAGGAGGCUGUUGAUGACAUGAACGACCACCAGGAGAAGCUGGAGCAGGCUGAUGCACAGAAGGGCGGAGAAGAGGGACACGUGCCAGACAACAGCUGCAGAGGGCUCCAGGCAGACGGAGUUCCAGAGCGAACGGUCAUACAGAUAAUUCCUAUCCCAAAAAAUAAGGAGACCAGGGGUCAGGCGAUAAGUAAGGAAAGCCAAACAGGCAACCCCAGUAGAAAACUGGGGUCUCCCCUGACCGGGUCAUGGGACUGGGCUCAUGAGGGUGACCGUUACUGCUCCAUUUGCAAUUUUCUGAGUAUCAGAGGAGCAAGAUGCUAGGAUGUGUGACCCAAAGGAGCUUGUAGUUCGUCUGUGUGUCUUUUUGUCUCUCUCUCUCUCUCUGUCUGAAAAGACCAAGCCCAAGCCUCCACCCAUUUACCUACUAUGCAGGUCUUUGAAUGGGUAACCAUAUUUCCAAGCUUGUGUCUGAUUGAAGGAUGAAACAUCAAACAUGCAAAAAGGACCAUCUUUCAGAGCAACUCCAGAAGUGACAAAGCAAAUCAGGGCUCCAAGUAAAGCCAGGCCACCUGACAACAGAGCAGUAAGCACCUGCGGAGGGAGGAGAAACACUGAGCUAAGACGGGGUCGCAGCUGGGGAGCCUGCGGAGGGAGGAGAAACGCUGAGCUAAGACGGGGUCGCAGCUGGGGAGUCUGUGGGGCGGUCUGCACAGGUCUGACUUCUCUGGUCUCAGUGUUCUUCCGUCCUGUCAUGGGGGAGAAUUCUGUCCAUGGCACCCCCUUUGAAGCAUAACCCAUGGUGGGGAGGCCGUGAGGGGUUUCUAGGAGAGAAAGGACCAAGAAGCAGAAUCGCAGGCCCCGGAUCUCCCUGACCGUGAGUUCGCCUGAGCUGCUCAGCAGCUUGGCAUCACAAACCUUUUGCACAUUACAGCCAUUCAGCCUCUGAGCUAAAGAAGAAGCUACCACAGGCCCACCACUGACUCUUCUAAGGAAAAGCUGCAUUUUCAAAAGUUCCAGGUUCCCAACUCUGAUUCUUCUCUAUUUCAAAUCAAGGAUAAAAAAAAGGAAGGGAGGGAAGGAAGGAAAGAAAGAAGCAGGAAAGAAGGGAAGGAGAGAAGUGGGAGGGAGGGAAAGAAGGGAGAGAAACAGCGAGAGAGAAGCUGCAGCCAAGCUCUGAAAUGACUCCACUUCUGUCGCUGUGUUUCUCCAGCUGAGAGCUUUCUUGGCCAUCAGUCUGUGCUCCCACUGCCCUCCCAGAAAAUAACUGGGUUUCCUUCCUUGACAGGUUUCUAGCCUGCUUCUACAUUGGCUUCUUUCUCGUUCCUUCCUUCCUUCCCUUCCUUCCUUCUUUCUCUCUCUCUCUUUCUUUUUGAGACAGAGUCUCACUCUGUCGCCCAGGCUGGAGUGCAGUGGCACGAUCUCAGCUCACUGCAACCUCUGCCUCUGAGUUCAAGCGAUUCUCCUGCCUCAGCCUCCCAAGUAGCUGGGACUACAAGCAUGCGCCACCACACCCAGCUAAUUUUUGUAUUUUUAGUAGAAAUGGGGUUUCACUGUGUUGGUCAUGCCGGUCUCAAUCUCCUGACCUUGUGAUCCACCUGCUUCAGCCUCCCAAAGUGCUGGGAUUACAGGCAUGAGCCACCGUGCCCGGCCCAUAUUGGAUUCUUUCUUAGGGUUCUAGAUUUUUUUCUCCCUCCCCCAAAAAUGCCUAUUUUAAAAAUGUGAAUAACACCUACAUAGCGUUUUUCUGCAGAGUCAUGGAGUCAUUCUCCCACUGAGGUCAAGCUGGUUUGGAGUUGGGGAGGGAUCAGACAAAGGUGCAUAGUAAGUUUUGACUCUGAGUUAAAGGAGUCAAGAUGAAUCAGUAAGCCUAGGGCAGUGGUUCCCAAAAUGGGGUCCCUGCCCAGCCGCAUCACAUCACCUGAGAACCUGUUAGAAAUGCAAAACUUCCCCGCCAUCCUGAAUCAGAAACUCUGGGGAGGGAGCCCAGCAAUCCGUGUUCCGGCAAAAGCCCUCCAGGUGAUUCUCAUGCACAUUCAAGUGUCAGAACUACGUGCCACGGGGAAAACCAGAAUGAGAACAGACAGUGAAUGAAAUGUGCAAGUGUUUAUUUAUUUAUCUAUGUACUUAUUUAUUUAUUUAUUUUGAAACGGAGUCUCGCUCUGUCGCCCAGGCUGGAGUGCAGUGGCGCCAUCUCGGCUCACUGCAAGCUCCGCCUCCCGGGUUCAAGAGAUUUUCCUGCCUCAGCCUCCUGAGUUGCUGGGAUUACAGGCGCCCACCACCACGCCCAGCUAAUUUUUGUAUUUUUGGUAGAGACGGGGUUUCACCAUGUUGGCCAGGCUGGUCUCAAACUCCUGACCUCAGGUGAUCCGCCCAUCUUGGCCUCCCAAAGUGCUGGGAUUACAGGCGUGAGCCACCGCGCCUGGCCUAUAUUUGAUUUUUUAACAUGUAACUGAGUCAGUGGGCUUCCCAACAUGUGGGCUGCAGAUAUCAGAGCAGGCUGUGGAGUUACCAUAAGGCCACAGAUUCAUGUCUGAGAACGAGUGUGUGUGUGUGUGUGUGUGUGUGUUUGUUACACACACAUAUACUGAGAUCUUUCAAGUUUAUACAGUUGCUGCUGUAAUUAAUAAGGUAGAAAUUUAUUCUGGGCCUCAGUUUAUCUGUAAAAUGGAGGGGUUAGAUUAGAAUCUAGUGAUUAGAUGAUCUCUGGAAAACUUUCCUGUUCUAAGAAAAUAUUAGUUAAAAUAACUAGGAAAAUUUCCAUCAAUGACACAUGAUUACAGUGUCAUAACUCAUGUCCAUAUUGUCCAACACCCUAAGAGAGUAACAGUUUCUCACACUGGUACAGACGUCUGGGUCCUCACACUGGUACAGACGUCUGGGCUUCACUAAGCACUACUCCCUUGACUUGAUCAGCUCCCAUUUUACAGAUGAAAGCCUGAAACUGGAAAGAUGAAGCAACUUGCCCAAGAACUUAGCGUUACUGAGGGUCACAGUGAGGACCUGACUUCAGGCCCCAAGACCAAAAUUGCCUCUUUACCGCCCUGCCUCUAGAGUAAUAGAGGUGGAGACAUUCUGGGUGUUAGAAGAGUGGAAUCUGGUGCUUACGCUUCGACAGAGCCCACUCUUACUGAAGCAGCCGUAUCUCCAGCCCAUCAAGGAGAUGAGGAUAGCUGCAGUGAGUACCUGCAGGAGAGAGAAGAAUGUUGAGAUGGGGAAAUCGACUUUGCCGGCUGUUUCUAGGUGCUGCCCACAGCUGUUAGAGUGGCUGGCAGCUCACAUGAACGCAGUCCUGUUGACUCUGACUCUGGGGACCCACAUUUGUAUGACGAGCCUGAUCUAACGCUGUGGAUGUUAACUUUCACACCCGACCUGCCUGGUCCCAAGCUAGGCUUCCUGUCUCUUAGAGCUUCUACAGACCCAAGAUCAGCUUGUUAGAAUAAACUUUUCUGCAAGGAAUCAAAACACUCUUCCCAUGCCACCUUCCUGCUCCCCGCCGGGGUCUCUUUGAGAGUUCACGUUCAGGGAACCCCGGACACUUACCAUGAGGCCUCCUCCCCAGAGCCCAGUUCCCAGCAUGGCAUGCCUGCCAAGGAGGCCCCUCAACAGGUAGGUGACAUCCCAGUUAGGAAGGAGGAGUGCCACGUUGGCCCCAGCAGCAAACAGGGCUGCAGUCCCAAGGCUCAGUCCCAGGAUACGGGAGCAAGUCCGUGAGCUUGCCUGCGUGCAGGGAGAGGACACCAUCCUGGAACAGAUAGAAAGGGAGUCGCAGCAGCUCUGCUGUGGGGGGAUGGGGAAGGGAACUCCAGCAGCAUAUCAUGGGUGAGGGAAACAGACUACAGAAACCGCCACCUUCCAGGGUCAGACCAAUGAGAGCCAAGCAACCUGCUUAAAAACUCUGCUCCUUAGGAAUCUUCCCCAGUGACUAGGAUUUAAUUGUUUCCUUUUCUGCUAACCCCUGUUCACACAUACAUAGUUUGCAUUCCAUCAUAUUUUGUUUAUGCCUCUAUUACAGCCAGUGAUUAUUUCUGACAAAAAGAAAUGUUUAAAGGUGUCUUCAUGAUGUCCAUUGUCUCCACUUCUAUUCAACGUUGUACUGGUCCUGGCCAGUGCAAUACGAAAAUAAAAGGAAGCAAAAGCCACACAGAUAGGAAAGAAAGAAGUAAUAUUGUCGGCCAGGCAUGGUGGCUCAGGCCUGUAAUCCCAGCACUUUGGGAGGCUGAGGCAGGCGGAUCACGAGGUCAGGAGUUCAAGACCAGCCUGGCCAACAUGGUGAAACCCCGUCUCUACUAAAAAUACAAAAAUUAGCUGGGCACGGUGGUGGGUGCCUGUAAUCCCAGCUACUGGGGAGACUGAGGCAGGAGAAUUGCUUGAACCCGGGAGGCAGAGGUUGCAGUGAGCUGAGAUCAUGCCACUGCACUCCAGCCUGGGUGACACAGCAAGACUCCAUCUUAAAAAAAAAAAAAAGUAACAUUGUUAUUAUUCACAGAUAAUGUGAUCACAUUAUGUAGAAAAUCCUAAAGUUUAUUAGAAUUAACAGGUGAGUUUAGCAACGUCAUAGAAUAAAAGAUUAAUAUACAAAAAUUAUAUUGUAUUUCUAUAUACAAGCAAUGACAAAUUGAGGAUUGAAAUUAAAAUAUAUCAUUUACAAUAGCAUAAAAAUAUAAUACAUAUGGAUGAAUUUAACAAAAUAUUUGCAAGACCUAUAUAGUAAGAAUUGCAAAGCAUUGCUGAGAAAAUUAAUGGAGACCUAAAUAAAUGGAGACAUAUACCAUGUUCCUGAACCAGAAGACUCAAAAUAGUUAACAUGUUCUCCCUAAAUUGAUGCAAAGAUUUAAAGCAAUAUCAGUCAAAAUCCUAGGAGAGUUUUGUUAUAGAAAUUGACAAACUGAAUCUAAAUUUAUAUGGAAAUGCAAAGCAAUUGUGAAGAUUAGCCAAAGCAAUUCUGAAAAACAAACAAAGCUGGAGAACUUACGCCAUGUGAUUUCAAGACUUACAAAGCUACAGUAAUUGAAGACACUGAAGCCACGCGUAAGGAAACACAUAUGGACUACUGGAACAGGCUGGAGCUCAGAAACAGACCCGGUCCAGGAAAAAUGAUUUUUUUUUUUUCUUGAGACGGAGUCUCGCUCUGUUGCUCAGGCUGGAGUGCAGUGGCGCGAUCUCA
rnacentral:lncRNA from 1 species